AACGGAGAUUAAAGUAAGCUUGCUUAUUUUAAUCUUAGUGGGCGCACGGGUGAGUAAUGUAUAGCUAAUCUGCCCUACACUAGAGGACAACAGUNGGAAACGACUGCUAAUACUCUAUACUCCUUCUUUACAUAAGUUAAGUCGGGAAAGUUUUUCGGUGUAGGAUGAGGCUAUAUCGUAUCAGCUAGUUGGUGAGGUAAUGGCUCACCAAGGCUAUGACGCGUAACUGGUCUGAGAGGAUGAUCAGUCACACUGGAACUGAGACACGGUCCAGACUCCUACGGGAGGCAGCAGUAGGGAAUAUUGCUCAAUGGGGGAAACCCUGAAGCAGCAACGCCGCGUGGAGGAUGACACUUUUCGGAGCGUAAACUCCUUUUCUU
rnacentral:rRNA from 1 species